UCGUCGGCCCUUUUUAGGGCCAUCAAAUUAGUGCAAAAAAGUUAAA
rfam:Aedes aegypti strain Liverpool supercont1.537 genomic scaffold, whole genome shotgun sequence.